AUGGGCAAAAGCUGGAAGCAUUCCCUUGUUUUCUACCUAUAUAGAUUCAACUGGAACCACUGCAGAGAGAUGGCACCUGCCUGCUAAUAGCAUUUCACCCAGGACACCUGCCCUUACAAGUCCUCCUCCAACUUUGGGCCCUGGAUCUGGCAGGUGGAUCAGAGCUGGUGUAAAGAGCAGGUACUGAACAUGCCCCUGUACAAAGAGGGUUAUGGGCAAUCCUGUGGGCAAUGGUGGAAAGAUUGUUGCAUCUCCUACACCUGCAAGAGCAACUGGCACAAAGGCUGGAACUGGACCUCAGGAUUCAGCGAGUCCCUGGUGAGAGGUGCCUGUGUACCUUUUCAUUUCUACUUUCCCACACCCACUGCUCUGUGCAAUGAAAUCUGGAGUUACUCCUACCAGGUCAGCAACUACAGCCAAGGGAGGGGCUGCAGCAUCCAGAUGUGAUUCGACCUGGCCCAGGGAACCCCAAUGAGGAGAUGGCAAGAUUCUAUGCUGCAGCCUUGAGUAGGGCAGGGCCCUGGGUGGCCUCUCCUGCUCAGCAUGGCCCUAAUGCUGUUCUGGCUGCUCAGCUGACCUCCUUUUACCUUCUGAUACCUGGAAAUUCCCGCCUGUUCAGCCCCACAGCUCCCAACUAAUUGGUUUCUGCUCCAUGGCUGGGCCUCUGACAGCCACUUUGAAUAAACCAGACACCCCA